rnacentral:lncRNA from 1 species
GCAAAUGUUAAUGCUUUCACAAAAAAAAUUAAGUUUAUCUCUUUAAUUCAUUUUGUUUUGCCUAAACAAAGGAGUCUUUGGAAAAUGCAAAUUCUGCUUAAACUGAGAUUGCCAUAUUGCUAAAAUCUGUGGGGUCAUGUAUCAAGUAAUGGUACAUAUAUAUGAAUAUAUAAAGAAUAUAUAUAUAUGAAUAAUAAAGAUACAAGGGUAUGUUAAGCAAUUAGCAGCAAACACUAGCCAUCCCAUUAUUUGCUUAUAUAUUCAACUCUAUUUAACACCAACUAUUUCAGGCUCUGGAAGGUUUGAAUGUAUUUUGUCUCCCACUGCUCUUGUUAAGAUCUAUUUUAAUCUAUCAGAGAUGGCAGGCUAAGCUUUGUGGGCUUUUAUUUUAAGUUCAGCUUUUCUUUGCCCAUAUUUUUCACAUGAAUUAAAACUGAAAGGCCCCUCUGAAGUCUGAUGUAUAAGAGCCAGUAACAAAGAACAAAUGAAGAUGCUCUUCACCUGAGGUUUUUCUUUAAAUUCUAUUUUCACUGAGCAAUAGGGGGAAAAAAAAAGAUUUUCUUCCAUCAAAUGCUUUCUGUGAUGGCAGCAGUUUGGUGUGAAUGUGUGAUAAGAAUAUCUGCAAUGUAAAGAUAGCUGGGAACUUUGAAUCAGUCCCUUGGCUGACAGUGGGCAGCCCAGUGUGUUACAAAGGAGGGUUUGAGAAAUCCUAUGCCUGGCAGAUGUGAAAUAGUUUGCUGCCAUGCUAAUCGCUACUGCCUUGGAAUUGAUUUGACCCUGAAACAUGAGAAGCUUCUGCCAGUGGAGGAACUACCUUAGAGUGAGGUGGCUCAAGAUUCUCCUCCUGACUCCCUGCAGAAAGGCUAAUAGAGUGCAGAAAGAUAAAAGCACUAUCCUGUCAGAAGAGAUCUGAAGGUUCUACUUAAGGACACAGACCUGUAUACCUUGCAGGUAUCUUAUUCAUUAUUUAUUCACUUUUGGUAUGAGGUAAGUGACAUAGAGAACUGGACUAGCAAUAUCACUGUUCUUACCACAGUGACAUUUCCUAAUGGUGAUAAUAGCCUUUGUUUAGCAGAAGGAACUUUGUUGGAGCUGAAGAAUAUUAAUAGAGCAGACUAAUUAAGCCUAUAAAAAUCCAUUUUUUUGCUAAUAAGAAAAUUAAUUUGAUUUCUUUGUGUUAAGCAUUUAGAACGCUUGUAAUACUAGUGUAGAUGUUUGGUCUGGAAAAUUAAAGUAUGGAUAACAAGAAGGCAGAGUUGACGUGAAAAGAAAGGUAAAUAACAAGAAAAGUGUGGAUAGAUAAGGGAAGGCUUUGAAUAUUUUAAGGCUAAUAGAUGAAAAAGACAGUUCAGUGUAGAUAAAUGAUGAAUAAUGAGUUCAGUGCAAAGCAUUCCUACUGCCAGUAUUCCUAGGUGCUUCAUGCACUUAGAGAAAUAAAAACAAGGGAACGUAUCA